GAUGAACGCUGGCUACAGGCUUAACACAUGCAAGUCGAGGGGAAACGACGGGGAAGCUUGCUUCCCCGGGCGUCGACCGGCGCACGGGUGAGUAACGCGUAUCCAACCUGCCUCUGACUGAGGGAUAACCCGUCGAAAGUCGGCCUAAUACCUCAUGGCAUCGUCUGCGGGCAUCCAACGACGAUUAAAGAUUUCAUCGGUCAGAGAUGGGGAUGCGUCUGAUUAGCUUGUUGGCGGGGUAACGGCCCACCAAGGCUACGAUCAGUAGGGGUUCUGAGAGGAAGGUCCCCCACAUUGGAACUGAGACACGGUCCAAACUCCUACGGGAGGCAGCAGUGAGGAAUAUUGGUCAAUGGGCGAGAGCCUGAACCAGCCAAGUAGCGUGCAGGAUGACGGCCCUAUGGGUUGUAAACUGCUUUUAUGCGGGGAUAAAGUGAGGGACGUGUCCUUCAUUGCAGGUACCGCAUGAAUAAGGACCGGCUAAUUCCGUGCCAGCAGCCGCGGUAAUACGGAAGGUCCGGGCGUUAUCCGGAUUUAUUGGGUUUAAAGGGAGCGUAGGCCGUGGAUUAAGCGUGUUGUGAAAUGCAGGUGCUCAACGUCUGCACUGCAGCGCGAACUGGUCCACUUGAGUGUGCGCAACGCAGGCGGAAUUCGUCGUGUAGCGGUGAAAUGCUUAGAUAUGACGAAGAACUCCGAUUGCGAAGGCAGCUUGCGGGAGCACAACUGACGCUGAAGCUCGAAAGUGCGGGUAUCGAACAGG
rnacentral:rRNA from 1 species